rnacentral:rRNA from 1 species
AGUGAACGCUGGCGGUAGGCCUAACACAUGCAAGUCGAACGGCAGUACAGGAGAGCUUGCUCUCUGGGUGGCGAGUGGCGGACGGGUGAGGAAUACAUCGGAAUCUACUUUUUCGUGGGGGAUAACGUAGGGAAACUUACGCUAAUACCGCAUACGACCUACGGGUGAAAGCAGGGGACCUUCGGGCCUUGCGCGAUUGAAUGAGCCGAUGCCGGAUUAGCUAGUUGGCGGGGUAAGGCCCACCAAGGCGACGAUCCGUAGCUGGUCUGAGAGGAUGAUCAGCCACAAUGGAACUGAGACACGGUCCAGACUCCUACGGGAGGCAGCAGUGGGGAAUAUUGGACAAUGGGCGCAAGCCUGAUCCAGCCAUACCGCGUGGGUGAAGAAGGCCUUCGGGUUGUAAAGCCCUUUUGUUGGGAAAGAAAUCCAGCUGGCUAAUACCCGGUUGGGAUGACGGUACCCAAAGAAUAAGCACCGGCUAACUUCGUGCCAGCCGCCGCCGUAA